AAUACAUGCACAGUACCCACUGCCUGAUUUCAUUUCUGAAAUGAAAAUGAGUAAAAAUAUUUGUGUAUAAUAAAAAUGUCCAUUAGAACUUAUUAUACAAAUAUUUAUCGUAAGUCAGAUUGUUUGUUCACCUUUAUUUACCUUAUACCCUUAAGUAUUAAGUUUGCAUAAUCUAAACAGGAAAACAUAUUUGCUAUAUACCAUUUGACAAUCUAUGUGU
rnacentral:lncRNA from 1 species